GAGCCCGUCCGGACAAACAAGAACUGCUAACUCAUGCUUCCAUGGUUCAACUCCAUGGCCCGCUCA
rnacentral:tRNA from 1 species